rnacentral:rRNA from 2 species
GUACGACUCUCGGCAAUGGAUAUCUCGGCUCUCGCAUCGAUGAAGAACGUAGCGAAAUGCGAUACUUAGUGUGAAUUGCAGAAUCCCGUGAAUCAUCGAGUCUUUGAACGCAAGUUGCGCCCGAAGCCUCGGCCAAGGGCACGUCUGCCUGGGCGUCGCAA